rnacentral:lncRNA from 1 species
ACAUCCGCACACGGGGACCGAGCCCGAUAUGUCACAGUCUUGUUAAAAGAAGAAUCCUCAGAGAUGUGGAGGAGGGACACCCAGAAAUUAUCCAGCUUUAUAGAGAACUGGACUACUGGUGUAUUCGUGAAGUGUCUGCAAGUGGAUAGAGCUGCUGCUGCUAACCUGUGAACUGAACUGCUGAUUUCCAGACAACACAGACAUAAGUUGCUCCAAAGAACCUUUUAAAACAGAUCCACUUCCCCCAUAUCCUUUCUUUUCCACUAGCUCUGGUGGGUGGUGGGCUAGAAGAGAGGUUAAAAUGUUUAAGUAUCAUCAUUGAAAAUAGGCUUUGAAAAAAAUUCAAGUUACAGCUGUACACCUGAAAGUAAUUCCAAGAAUUUAUUGUCUCACCAAGAUAAACUUGGAUGAGGAGGUUUUUGUUGUUGUUUUUGGUGUGUGUGUGUGUGUGUGUGUGUGUGUGUGUGUGUUUGGCUCAUUUAUCAGUUCAUUAUCUGGUAGAAAUGGAUGUUUUUACAUAUCUCCUCAAGAAGUCACACUACCCUUGGAUAGAGUAUAAGUAUACUCACUGAGUUGAUCUAUUUCAGUGAAUGUAUGUUGUAGCUGGCCUUUGCUACUUUGUGGGUUUUUCUUUUUCCCACCCUAUAUCCCCCUGGUUUCACCCCCUAUCACUAGAUAGGAGAGAUAAAAGGAUAGAGAAGAGAAGAGAAGAGAAGAGAAGAGAAGAGAAGAGAAGAGAAGAGAAGAGAGAGAUAUUUGUGAAUCUAAUUUCUUUCCUCUUGCUUCUUCUUUGCUUCUAGCUGGUCUUUGCUAUUUUGCGUAUUCUUUUUGUCCUACCCUGAAUCUAACUUGUUUCUUCUUUGAGCAUGACUGCUAGCAAACCACAACCUUCCCCCCUGAAUGACCAAUAAUCACCAAAUCUGCCUCUUGGGGUCCUAGUACUUAACAUAACUUCUGAAAAGUUUUGCAGCUGGUAAAAUCACACCUUAGCUAGAGCAUGAGGCAAAUCAUAGUUAGAUACUGCAAAGAAGCCCCAUAUCCCCACACUUGAGAUUAAAAUGAAGACAUAUUCUUAUAAUAUUUCUGUGUUUUUUUAAAACAGAAAUCAAAAUUCCAGAAUUGUCUCUACAGUAUGUAGAGCAAAAUCAGCCCAUGCAAAUAGAUACAAGUGCUAAGUGCUGACAAGAGGGCUCAUCGGGGAAAGGCAUUUGCUAUCAGCCUGAGGACUUAAGCUUGUUCCCUGGGGGCGCAUAAGGUGAAGGGAGAGAACUGACCCCCCAUGAUUUCCAUAUGCACUGUGGCAUUUGUGUGCCUCCCUUAUUCAAUAAAUAAAAUGUAAUAAAUACAAAAGCAAAAAGAGAGGGACAGGGACAAAGUCACUUCCUGCUCAGAGCUCACAACACAUCCUCAGGUCCUGAAGAUAUUGUGGAUAUUACAGCGUCAUUAUCUUUGUCUAAAAUCUUAGUACUUUAGUUUCUUUCUUUCAAGUGGUAUUAUGGAUUGCAAUUGCCCGGUUCCCUAGUCUCAGAUUCUAAGUGUUUUGGGGAUUCAGGCGGCACAGGGUUUGUACUAUGUUGACUGUCUUUUGCUCUUUCAGCUAGUUCAUUUCUUUUUUCCUUGGG